CACAGUCAUUCCGGUAGGCACGGAGUCGUUCCUCGAUGGACGUGAUGACCUGGCACCAAAACCACUUAAUGUGUAUGAAGCUGUGUCUGCAUCGAGGGAAGAACCCAGCACUGAAAUGACACAAAUGAAAGAGGACGUCUUCUCUGCUGGGUCUGCGACACUACUUAUCCUAGGAAUCCUCAAACAUCAGGAUGUAGGAAACUUAUGGUGAGAUGCCAAGAACCGCCAUGAGGGAUAUGCAACCUGCAGCUUCACCAUGCUUUUGGGAGAUCAUGUACUACGUGAACCUUGAGUAUCUACAAGCCAGCUACUUUAAGUCCUUGAAAGGGUAGUGAUGUCAUUCAAGCCAGAUCACGAGACAAGGUCCUGUACAAACUGUCAAUCUAAGUGUUGCGACAUCCCUGUCAGUUCUUUUGGACUGAAUACAUGCUGUGUUUGAAAUGUAUUAUUCGGAUAACCUCCCAUCAGGGAAUACCUUGUCUGUUAAUGACGGAUGGACAUGCCAUUGACAUGCAGUGCACACUUUGAUGUUUUUUAUUGUAAUGUUUUCUAUGUUUUUCCGAUGUUCUUUUUUAUUUAUGUUCUGUUAUAUGCUGGUUAUGUAAGUACUGUAUGGAAUGUAGUGACUGUAGAGCCCAAGACAAAUUUCAACCUGGGGACAAAAAGUUCACUCCACUCUGUUAGCGCAGUUAUGGAUGCACUGUAAAUUUUGUAAUUAACCAAAAGUACGGUGAGAAGCCUGUUUGUGCAGAUGGACCUGCUGGCGGGCCUGUUUACUCAUAGCUAAAAAGCAACAUAUUCUCUGUGCAAAGCACAUGGGCUCUUUGCAAAGGGGUUAAACAUUUUCAUGUGCUGUUUUACAGUGUGCUAUACAAAAGGUAAGGUGAAACUAUUUUUUUGAAAUUCUAUAAUUGAAGAGUUCAGAUGCAAAACCCCCUAAGUGCCAUUUCAGAAAAUAAUCUUAAUUCAUUUUUAUUUAAUAUAAAGCUAUCAAAAUUGCAUAUAUUUUUAUUUUAUUUAUGUAAUAUAACUAUUUAUUUGUAUUAUCAAGUACAUAAAUGUAAACCAACCCAACAACAGUGUUGUCUAAAAAUAUAGAAGUGCAGGUCUUCAGAAAUGGAGUUAGGGGGUUUUGCAUCUGAACUCUUCAAUUGUACAGUGUCACUGAAAUCAAAUGGUGCAUUGGUAAAACUGAACCAUUUCCUUUAAUCCUGUUUAGCAGAGCCUAUGUUUGAACUAUACUGUCACCAAUAUUGUAAUGACUGAGUUUUAACCUGUUACUUAAGGCUCUUGGUAAUGUCAUAGCAAUGUUGCUAUGAUGUACUUGAGUCUUUUCAGUCAUGAGUGAUCAGUGUUGCUGAUAACCCGUCUUUGCAAAGAGGCUACAAAGAUGCAUGUAAAUUCAAUUAAGGUUUUAUUGCUCCAAUGCUAUCAUGUGUUAAUGCUACACUGCUGUGAUUUGCAUCUUUAUAGUAUACUUUUAUGAAAUGUAUUGUUAAUUAUCUUCAUUGUUCAGCAAUAAAAAAAAGAUCUGAAAUAUUA